ensembl:misc_RNA Metazoa_SRP Metazoan signal recognition particle RNA
GCCGGACGCGGUGGCGCGUGUCUGUAGUCCCAGCUAUUCGGGAGGCUGAGGCUGGAGGAUCUCUUGAGUCCAGGAGUUCUGGGCUGUAGUGCGCUAUGCCGAUCGGGUGUCCGCACUAAGUUCGGCAUCAAUAUGGUGACCUCCCGGGAGCGGGGGACCACCAGGUUGCCUAAGGAGGGGUGAACCGGCCCAGGUCGGAAACGGAGCAGGUCAAAACUCCCGUGCUGAUCAGUAGUGGGAUCGCGCCUGUGAAUAGCCACUGCACUCCAGCCUGGGCAACAUAGCGAGACCCUGUCUCUU